AUGUCCGACACAAAUGCAACACCGGCAUCGCAGGAAGAGAAUGUCCUUAAGAGAAAGUCAGAUGAUGUGGGAUGGGAGUAUGGGAGUCUAGCUGAUGCUUCCAACAAGGAUAAAGUGAAGUGUAUGUUCUGUAACCAUGUGAGCACGGGAGGUGUUUAUCGUCACAAACAGCAUGUGGCUCAUAUUGGUAAUGCUGUGGUCAAAUGCAAGAAAAGCUCCCAGGAAGCUAAAGACAGGUGCAAGAAAUCUCUUGAGGAUGCAUCUAAUAAGAGGAGGGAAAAGACUGCCCGUGAGCAAGAGCUUAGACAAAGUGUGAACAUUUCUCGCAUUGGAGAUGUAGAGGCUGCUCAUAUCGAAAGAGCGGAGCCACACAAGUUAGGUCCUAUUGACAAGUGGGCACGGCCUAUUGAUCCUAAAUUGACUCAAGCUGAAGCCUUGCAUCAAGAGAAGAUAAACAAGGAACUUUUGAAAAAGAGGACACAUGAAGUGCAACAGUAUGUGGCUAGAUGGGUGUACAAUCAUGCUAUACCAUUCAAUGCUUGUGACAACGAUGAUUUCAAGUUAAUGUGUGAAGCCAUUGGGAGGUUUGGCCCUGGAUUUGAGCCACCAUCUAAACAUGACCUUCGAGAGACUUUGCUAAGUGAGGAACAUGCAAGAGUGAAGAGUUUGCUGCAAGAACGUGAUGCUGAAAAGAUGAAGAAUGACUGCUCCAUUAUGACUGAUGCUUGGUCAGAUAGGAAGAGGAGAAGCAUAAUGAACUUUUGCACAAACAGUGCUGAUGGUUCUAGUUUUAUAAGGUCGAGUGAGAUGUCGGCUGUAUCGCACACAAGUGAAGUCAUCUUCCAGUUAGUGGAUGAAGCAAUUGAAGAAGUAGGUCCUGAAAACGUGGUCUAA
rnacentral:rRNA from 1 species